rnacentral:misc_RNA from 1 species
CAAGAAACGAGGCUACGUGCCCCGCUCUUUACCUUGCCUACUGCACUAUCUGUUGCUUCCUGGCGGCGGUUUGCCUGCCGCCAGGGACAUUGUAAAGCCCUGCUAUAGCAUUAAAAACUGAAACAAACCGAAUCGUA